GAACGCUAGCUACAGGCUUAACACAUGCAAGUCGAGGGGCAGCAGAUCGAAAGCUUGCUUUGAUGCUGGCGACCGGCGCACGGGUGAGUAACGCGUAUCCAACCUUCCCUAUAGUAGAGGAUAGCCCGGCGAAAGUCGGAUUAAUACUCUAUGUUUUCCAAUGCAGACAUCUAAGUUGGAACAAAGGUUCACCGCUAUAGGAUGGGGAUGCGUCUGAUUAGAUAGUAGGCGGGGUAACGGCCCACCUAGUCGACGAUCAGUAGGGGUUCUGAGAGGAAGGUCCCCCACAUUGGAACUGAGACACGGUCCAAACUCCUACGGGAGGCAGCAGUGAGGAAUAUUGGUCAAUGGGCGAGAGCCUGAACCAGCCAAAAGUAGCGUGCAGGAUGACGGCCCUAUGGGUUGUAAACUGCUUUUAUCGGGGGAUAAAGUGAGGGACGUGUCCCUUUUUGUAGGUACCCGAUGAAUAAGGACCGGCUAAUUCCGUGCCAGCCGCUGC
rnacentral:rRNA from 1 species